rnacentral:rRNA from 1 species
GACGUAGGGCGCGAGCGUUGUCCGGAAUGAUUGGGCGUAAAGCGUCUGUAGGUGGCUUUUAAGUCCGCCGUCAAAUCCCAGGGCUCAACCCUGGACAGGCGGUGGAAACUACCAAGCUGGAGUACGGUAGGGGCAGGAGGGAAUUUCCGGUGGAGCGGUGAAAUACGUAGAGAUCGGAAAGAACACCAACGGCGAAAGCACUCUGCUGGGCCGACACUGACACUGGAGAGACGAAAGCUAGGGGAGCGAAUGGG